rnacentral:lncRNA from 1 species
AGAAGGUCAAACUCUAUUAUAUUUAUCUGCAAUUCAUGCAAUUUGCAACUCCAAAUCCCAUACUUUCUCAUCUGGGUGGUUGCCAAAUUGCACAAAUUCCCUGUGAUAGGCUGCAAACUACCAUUUCAUGUAAAGGUGAAAUUCCAGAAUUACAUAGAAUUAUAAAGUAGUCAACAAUAUUUCAGCUCACCAAAUCAAACCAAUUGCCUCAAAACACUCACGCCAAGAAACGCCAUGCACCAUUCCCCACUUUCU